rnacentral:rRNA from 2 species
AAAUUGAAGAGUUUGAUCAUGGCUCAGAUUGAACGCUGGCGGCAGGCCUAACACAUGCAAGUCGAACGGUAACAGGAAGCAGCUUGCUGCUUCGCUGACGAGUGGCGGACGGGUGAGUAAUGUCUGGGAAACUGCCUGAUGGAGGGGGAUAACUACUGGAAACGGUAGCUAAUACCGCAUAAUGUCGCAAGACCAAAGAGGGGGACCUUCGGGCCUCUUGCCAUCGGAUGUGCCCAGAUGGGAUUAGCUUGUUGGU